CGGGGUGUGGCUCAACAGGUGGAGCGCCGGAAUGUAACCCGGAGAUCGGAGGUUCAAAUCCUUCCAUCCCGACCA
rnacentral:tRNA from 1 species